AGCAGCCGCGGUAAUUCCAGCUCCAAUAGCGUAUAUUAAAGUUGUUGCAGUUAAAAAGCUCGUAGUUGAAUUUCGGGGUUAGUAGGUUGGUCAUGCCUCUGGUAUGUACUGGUCUCACUGAUUCCUCCUUCCUGAUGAGCCGUAAUGCCAUUAAUUUGGUGUUGCGGGGAAUCUGGACUGUUACUUUGAAAAAAAUUUAGAGUGUUUAAAGCAAGCUAACGCUUGAAUACAUUAGCAUGGAAUAAUGAAAUAGGACGUUCGAUCCUAUCUUGUUGGUUUCUAGGAUUGACGUAAUGAUUAAUAGGGAUAGUUGGGGGGCAUUAGUAUUCAAUUGUCAGAGGUGAAAUUCUUGGAUUUAUUGAAGACUAACUACUGCGAAAGCAUUUGCCAAGGAUGUUUUCAUAAUUCAAGAACGAAAGUUAGGGGAUCGAAGACGAUCAGAUACCGUCGUAGUCUUAACCAUAAACUAUGCCGACUAGGGAUCGGAUGAUGUUAAUUUUUUUAAUGACUCAUUCGGCGC
rnacentral:misc_RNA from 1 species